ACUGAAUCCUUCGGGAGGACGUCUGUGGAACGAGCGGCGGACGGGUGAGUAACACGUGGGCAACCUGCCUGUAAGACUGGGAUAACUCCGGGAAACCGGGGCUAAUACCGGAUAACACAUCGGAUCGCAUGAUCCGAUGGUGAAAGAUGGCUUCUUGCUAUCACUUACAGAUGGGCCCGCGGCGCAUUAGCUAGUUGGUGGGGUAACGGCCUACCAAGGCAACGAUGCGUAGCCGACCUGAGAGGGUGAUCGGCCACACUGGGACUGAGACACGGCCCAGACUCCUACGGGAGGCAGCAGUAGGGAAUCAUCCGCAAUGGACGAAAGUCUGACGGUGCAACGCCGCGUGAGUGAGGAAGGUCUUCGGAUCGUAAAACUCUGUUGUUAGGGAAGAACAAGUCCCGUUCGAAUAGGGCGGGGCCUUGACGGUACCUAACCAGAAAGCCACGGCUAACUACGUGCCAGCAGCCGCGGUAAUACGUAGGUGGCAAGCGUUGUCCGGAAUUAUUGGGCGUAAAGCGCGCGCAGGCGGUUCCUUAAGUCUGAUGUG
rnacentral:rRNA from 1 species